rnacentral:rRNA from 1 species
GAUUGACCUCGGAUCAGGUAGGGAUACCCGCUGAACUUAAGCAUAUCAAUAAGCGGAGGAAAAGAAACCAACAGGGAUUGCCUCAGUAACGGCGAGUGAAGCGGCAACAGCUCAAAUUUGAAAUCUGGCUCCUUCGGGGUCCGAGUUGUAAUUUGUAGAGGACGUUUCGGGAGCGGCGCCGGUCUAAGUCCCUUGGAACAGGGCGUCACAGAGGGUGAGAAUCCCGUAUGUGACCGGUGACCAACCCCAUGUGAAACCCCUUCGACGAGUCGAGUUGUUUGGGAAUGCAGCUCAAAAUGGGUGGUAAAUUUCAUCUAAAGCUAAAUACCGGCCAGAGACCGAUAGCGCACAAGUAGAGUGAUCGAAAGAUGAAAAGCACUUUGGAAAGAGAGUCAAACAGUACGUGAAAUUGUUGAAAGGGAAGCGCUGGCAACCAGACCUGUCCGCGGGCUUCAGCCCUCGUUCUCGAGGGUGUACUUGUCCGCGAUCAGGCCAGCAUCGGUUCGGGCGGUUGGAUAAAGGCCUUGGGAAUGUAGCUUCCUCCGGGAAGUCUUAUAGCUCUCGGCGCAAUGCGGCCAGCCCGGACCGAGGACCGCGCUUCGGCUAGGAUGCUGGCGUAAUGGUUGUCAGCGACCCGUCUUGAAACACGGACCAAGGAGUUGACCACUUAUGCGAGUGUUUGGGUGUCAAACCCAUACGCGUAAUGAAAGUGAACGGAGGUGAGAACCCUUAAGGGCGCAUCAUCGACCGAUCCAGAUGUCUUCGGAUGGAUUUGAGUACGAGCAUAAUUGGUCUGACCCGAAAGAUGGCGAACUAUACUUGAAUAGGGUGAAGCCAGAGGAAACUCUGGUGGAGGCUCGCAGCGGUUCUGACGUGCAAAUCGAUCGUCAAAUUUGGGUAUAGGGGCGAAAGACUAAUCGAGCCAUCUAGUAGCUGGUUCCUGCCGAAGUUUCCCUCAGGA